GUGGGGAAUAUUGGACAAUGGGCGCAAGCCUGAUCCAGCAAUGCCGCGUGUGUGAAGAAGGCCCUCGGGUUGUAAAGCACUUUUAUCAGGAGCGAAAUCUGCAAGGCUAAUACCCUUGUAGUCUGACGGUACCUGAGGAAUAAGCACCGGCUAACUCCGUGCCAGCAGCCGCGGUAAUACGGAGGGUGCAAGCGUUAAUCGGAAUUACUGGGCGUAAAGCGUGUGUAGGCGGUUUGUUAAGUCUGUUGUGAAAGCCCCGGGCUCAACCUGGGAAUGGCAAUGGAUACUGGCAAGCUAGAGUGUGAUAGAGGAUGGUGGAAUUCCCGGUGUAGCGGUGAAAUGCGUAGAGAUCGGGAGGAACAUCAGUGGCGAAGGCGGCCAUCUGGAUCAACACUGACGCUGAGACACGAAAGCGUGGGGAGCAAACAGG
rnacentral:rRNA from 2 species